AGCGAACGCUGGCGGCAUGCCUAACACAUGCAAGUCGAACGAGACCUUCGGGUCUAGUGGCGCACGGGUGCGUAACGCGUGGGAACCUGCCCUUAGGUUCGGAAUAACUCCCCGAAAGGGGUGCUAAUACCGGAUAAUGUCUUCGGACCAAAGAUUUAUCGCCUUUGGAUGGGCCCGCGUUGGAUUAGCUAGUUGGUAGGGUAAAAGCCUACCAAGGCGACGAUCCAUAGCUGGUCUGAGAGGAUGAUCAGCCACACUGGGACUGAGACACGGUCCAGACUCCUACGGGAGGCAGCAGUGGGGAAUAUUGGACAAUGGGCGAAAGCCUGAUCCAGCAAUGCCGCGUGAGUGAUGAAGGCCUUAGGGUUGUAAAGCUCUUUUACCCGGGAUGAUAAUGACAGUACCGGGAGAAUAAGCUCCGGCUAACUCCGUG
rnacentral:rRNA from 1 species